CGCGCACGGUCCACCUGGCGCUCGGGGCCGCGAGCGAGCGCAGCCAGGCCGCCCGGGAACUUUUUUCCUCGCGCUCUCGCUCUCCCGCUCCCCCCGCGCGUCGCCCGCCCGCCCGCCCGCCCGCCCGCUCUUCCUGUGAGGAGGAGAUCGCGUUUCCCCGCGGCACCCGCGGACACCAGGCAGCCCGGGCGGGUGCGCGGCCAGGACCCGCUCCCCGCGCCGCCUGCUCCCCGCGUUCCCGGGCGCCGCCCCCGCCCGCGUCUAGGCUCCGAGAGGCGACUUGGAGAGCAAGGCGGCGAGGGCGACUGGCGAGCCGAGCAGGCCGCCCAGCCCGCGGCUCAAGCGUCGGCGCGAGGAGGGGGCACCGCGGCCCACCUCCUUCCUGCCUGGCCGCGGGCCGGUCGGGCCGCCGCGCCUGACCCCCAUGGCCGCCGAGGCCUCCGGGCCGCUACGUCGCAGCGCCAGACGCAGGGUCCCCGAGUGAGCGCGGGCGCCGAGCCCAGAAGUUAUCUGGGGCCCAGGAGCAAGGAACAGUGGAGCCAGUCAUGGCCAUUCUGGUGUCAGCAGCCUCAGCCCAGAAGUCUAGAAAAAGCCUUCGUAGCAAAAAACCUUGGCGAGAAGGAGAGGGUAUCAAGGCUAAUCCAGGCCCCAGAAGCCAGCUAUCCAGUGGGCAAAAUGUGACCUUCCCCGACCAGGUGUCCUCGGCUUUUGUAAACAGAGAGUUCUCACCUGCUCCAGAGCCAUCUCCACUUCCACUGGACCAUGGAGUCUUCACUGCUGCAGCUCUUGUAGACCCCUAGCAAAGAAGGUUGGCUUUAAGACUCCUGCCAGUGACCUGCGGUAUGAAGAAAUACAUUAGGUCGUAGUGCUGUUCACACCCACAUCAUAUAACAGAAAUGAAAGUUUAGUAGUGAAUAAGCCCUCUGCUAUGAAUGCUGGUCUUUGAUGCCUUCUGUUCUAGUAUAUUUGACUAAAAGAAUUACUGGUUACAACCCAGUAAGUCAGUGAUUUCACAAUCUACUGAUAGGUCAUACCCAGUUUGAAAAGGCAGCCCUAGGAAAUGGAUCUGUCGUUUAUUCAUUCAACAAACAGUAAUUUAGACCCUAACAGUUG
rnacentral:lncRNA from 1 species